GCAAACUGGUCUUUCAUCAUUACCUAGCACAUAGAAACCAGACAAAAAAAAUUUAAAAAGUAAAAUGUAGGCCUCAAAAAUGAAUAAUACUAAAUAGAGACAAAGUUGACUCAGUUAUUAAGAUAUAUCAUUGCACUUAAAAUUGUGCUCCUUAUUGGACACAAGCAGAAUAAAUAAACAUCAUUGGGGGCGCAAAGCCAAGGUUUUCAAACCUGGCCCAAUCAUCAAACUGGAGAAUUCAAAGGGCCAAGUUUAAAUAUAAUAUAUAUUUAAGAGUUAAGUGUACGCAUAUACAUGUAUAUAUCAAAUAGUAAAUUAGUAUUAAAAGUUAAAACCAAAUCAAAUUAUAUUAAAUAUUCUUCUGACGAUUAAUUUGCAUUUCCUUAUAACAAUAAUAAAAGGAAUAGUUAAAGUUUAGCUUGGAGAACAAGAAGUAUAUUUAACACAAAUAAAAAUAGCAUGCAUUCCUCGUAUGCACAUUAUCAUUAUCAUUUUAGAAAUUAAAGUUUAGUCUUUUAAAUUGAAAAAUAAAUAAUGAAAAUGAAAUACAUAAACACUUUUGGUAGGAGUAUCACAACUUCCUUUGUAGCCUAAACGGCUCUCCCCAACUUGUGAAGAUGUUAUAUCUCCCUGUUUAACUUGCUUUUCUAGCCUGAACUACAACCAGGUAGACCAGUUCACUGGUUUCCCAGCCAGUUUGUGGUUUCUUGCAGGUUUCUGGGUAAAAGACUUCAAAAUUUGAACUGAACCAUACGCUAGCCUGAUUCCCAAUUACCCAGUCCAACCAGUCAGGCCAAUCCAAUUCUGGAAACCAUUAUUGAAGCAAUUGAAAGCUGGAAGUUGACGAUAUCUUGGCAUAUUAAUAAAUGAUUCUUUAAAGCUUAUAUACAAUUUAUUUUCAAUCAAAGAAGAAAAUAAAAAGUAGUACAGACUUAGUUUCUCUUAACAAAGCACCAAACCUCAUCAGAUCUAAAACUUGAACACAGGAUUAUAGAGGCACUAAAAGAGUUCCUUCUUAUAGUAACUGGAGAGAGAGAGCAUAAAUGAUAAUCUAGCCACACUCACUCAAAUGCUCAACAGUAGAAUUAUUAUCCACGGGUCACAAAGCAGCAGAUAUAUUAACACAACUCGGUACAUCAUACGAGGUAUCUAUGAGAUAGCACAAAGAAGCAUUUAAAAUAUUAUUAGAACUCAUAGAGUGAAGUGCCUAUUUUCUAGGUAAUUUCUAUAGUCCAUCCCUGAACUUUGCCCCAUGUUUCACUUCUGUACCUUAACUUCAAUUUGUUACUAAA
rnacentral:misc_RNA from 1 species